UACGUAGGGUGCGAGCGUUAAUCGGAAUUACUGGGCGUAAAGCGUGCGCAGGCGGCUUUGCAAGACAGAUGUGAAAUCCCCGGGCUCAACCUGGGAACUGCAUUUGUGACUGCAAGGCUAGAGUACGGCAGAGGGGGAUGGAAUUCCGCGUGUAGCAGUGAAAUGCGUAGAUAUGCGGAGGAACACCAAUGGCGAAGGCAAUCCCCUGGGCCUGUACUGACGCUGAGGUACGAAAGCAUGGGGAGCAAACAGG
rnacentral:rRNA from 1 species